CUGACUGACCGAUAGUGAACCAGUACCGUGAGGGAAAGGCGAAAAGAACCCCGGCGAGGGGAGUGAAAAAGAACCUGAAACCGUGUACGUACAAGCAGUGGGAGCACGCUUAGGCGUGUGACUGCGUACCUUUUGUAUAAUGGGUCAGCGACUUAUAUUCUGUAGCAAGGUUAACCGAAUAGGGGAGCCGAAGGGAAACCGAGUCUUAACUGGGCGUUAAGUUGCAGGGUAUAGACCCGAAACCCGGUGAUCUAGCCAUGGGCAGGUUGAAGGUUGGGUAACACUAACUGGAGGACCGAACCGACUAAUGUUGAAAAAUUAGCGGAUGACUUGUGGCUGGGGGUGAAAGGCCAAUCAAACCGGGAGAUAGCUGGUUCUCCCCGAAAGCUAUUUAGGUAGCGCCUCGUGAAUUCAUCUCCGGGGGUAGAGCACUGUUUCGGCAAGGGGGUCAUCCCGACUUACCAACC
rnacentral:rRNA from 1 species